UACGUAGGAGGCAAGCGUUGUCCGGAAUUACUGGGCGUAAAGCGCGCGUAGGCGGUUUGGUAAGCCGGGUGUGAAACCCUCGAGCUCAACUCGGGGCGGCCACUCGGAACUGCUAUGACUUGAGUCUGGUAGGGGAACACGGAAUACCUGGUGUAGCGGUGAAAUGCUUAGAUAUCAGGUGGAACACCAGUGGCGAAGGCGGUGUUCUGGGCCAGUACUGACGCUGAGGCGCGAAAGCGUGGGGAGCGAACAGG
rnacentral:rRNA from 1 species